rnacentral:rRNA from 1 species
GGUCAAGUGAAUAAGAGCAUGUGGUGGAUGCCUUGGCGAUGAUAGGCGACGAAGGACGUGAUAGCCUGCGAUUAGCUUCGGGGAGCUGGCAAAUUAGCUUUGAUCCGGAGUUUUCCGAAUGGGGAAACCCACCUAGCAUUAGGUAUCGCAUGAUGAAUACAUAGUCAUGCGAGGCGAACCGGGUGAACUGAAACAUCUCAGUAGCUCGAGGAAAAGACAUCAACCGAGAUUCCGAAAGUAGUGGCGAGCGAAAUCGGAAGAGCCUGUUAGUGAUAGCAC